AUGCACUGUAAGCUACAGCCGCCCUCCGGGUACUUCAGGCUUCUCACGCCAGAGAAGCAUCGGGCGAGAAGAGUCGCUGUCCUCGCGGGAUCACGGACCCUGGUCUCCAGAGGACUUGGGGCCGUGGCUGGUAUUCGAAACAUUUUGAUUAUAAAGAUCAGAAUUUUAUUAACUUGGAGAAAUUAAUUGAAAACAUCAGGAUUCUGAGUCACCACGGAUCCAAGGAAGCCAGAAUAUGUUAUUUAACAAUGCUGCUGAUUUAAACAAUUUCGUUUUGGAGAGAGUGAAGGAAUACCAAGGAUUCAUGGCCACUAACAACCACUGGAACUGCUUUGACUGUGUCUGGUCAAAAUGAAACUAGAAAAAUGUGAACUGGGUUCUGAGGUUCAUCAUUUUGUUCUUCCUGGAGGAAUUUAGGUGGCUGGGCAAACAGCACUUGGCAAGCACUUGAAGCAGCUGCUGUGAACAUGGACCUACACUUAGCAUCAUGGUGGCUUUCAAUUUUAUAAUGUUAAAAUUUAUAAAAUGUAACUUUUGUUUUGGGGUUUUUUUUGGCUUUAAUUCUUUUUUUAAUUGAAGUAUCAUUAUACACAAUCUUAUCAUGGUUUCAAAUAUACAAUACAGUGGUUCAACUUUCACCCAUAUUAUCAAGUCCUCAUCCCCUCCAGGUCGUCACUGUCUUACCACAUAGUAAGAUGUUAUAAAGUCGUUCUUUGUAUUCUCCAUGCUCUACUACUGUCCCCAUGACCUACCUAUAUUGUGACUUGAAUUAUAGUGCCCCUUAAUCCCCUUCUCCCUUCCCACCCGCCUUCCCCAACCCCUCCCCCUUGGUAACCACUAGCCCCUUCUCAGUGUCUGUGAGUCUACUGCUGUUCUGUUCCUUCUGUUUUUCUUUGUUCUUAUACUCCACAAGUGAGUGAAAUCAUUUGGUAUUUGUCUCUCUCCACCUGGCUUAUUUCACUGAGCAUAAUAUCCUCCAGCUCCAUCCAUGUUGUUGCAAAUGGCAGGAUUUCUUUUCUUCUUAUGGCUGAAUAAUAUUUCAUUGUGUAUAUGUACCACAUCUUCUUUAUCCAUUCAUCUACUGAUGGACACUUAGGUUGCUUCCAUUUCUUGGCUAUUGUAAAUACUGCUGUGAUAAACAUAGGGGUGUAUAUGUCUUUUGGAAUUGGGGAUCUUGUUUUCUUCAGGUAAAUUCCUAGGAGUGGAAUUCCUGGGUCAAAUGAUGUUUUUAUUUUUAGUUUUUUUGAGGAACCUCCAUAUUGCUUUCCACAAUGGUUGUACCAAUUUACAUUCCCAACGUGGUAACUGUUUUGUAAAUGGUAAAGGUCUAACUGAAGAAAGGCAGAAUGUACAUCUCGGAUGAAAUAACCAUAGUUCUUAAGAAGCAGCACACACAAACCACCAGGCUCUAAAAUGAAGCUGCAGUUGACGACUGAACAUAGUACACUUGAAAGAAGUGCUGGCAUCCACUGGCCCUGAGGGGUGGGGGUGGGGUUUCAGAUGGGGUUUCAGAUAGGCCCCAAAUCUGGGUAAUGGAGCUGGGAGGCUUUAAAUGGGUUAGUGAAAUCCAGCUUUGGACUGACAUGGAGUUGGAGUUUGGUAUUUAUGAAGUGAUCUGAAUACUGAGUUUGAAAUUUUUUAUUUGAUUAGAUAGAAAUUUAGCAAGGACAAGAAUGUGAUAAACAAAGACGUGAUUGCAGAUGAUAUUUGAGGGAAAUUAUGCAAAAGUUUUCUGAAGUGUUUUGGAAUACAGCGAGGAUCAAGUUCAAGGGCCUGCUGGAGAUCUGUUUUCUAGACUUAGCACUAUGAGAGUGUGGAUAAUCAUUAUAGCCAUGGAAUUAUGGGGAAGUUUGAUGAGAGAGGAGUCAAAAUUACAUGAAGAUCAUCUCUCUUUCUGCAUUCCCAUGGAUGUAGGAAGAUAAUCAGUUGGGCAGCUCUAAGGAAGCCAAAGGAGAAGGAAAACUAAAAAGAAAGAAUAGGUGAGAUGUUGAGUGGCCUCUGGACUGGGUAAGAGGGUUCGGCAGUGGGCCCUAACCAGAGAGAGUGGGUUAGUAGGAAGCAGAUGGUGGGGAGGGAGAGGUUCUACUCGGGAACAUCUGGAUGUUGGAUUUAAAUGGUGGUGGGUCAGGUGGGAUAAUUGUGUGGGAAGGAAUAAAGGCACUUACAAGGACGUUAGUGUGGGUGCACAUUUUCCACUGAAAUGGGAGAGGCAACAUUUGGAGAAGAGCUGCUUGGGGAUGGCAGGACAUUUCUUCGUCUGGUAGUUCUUUAACCAACUAUUUUCUGUUACACUGGGUGGAAAUAGAGAUUGGUUGGUGGACAAGAUCUUGGACCGGAAUGGGUAGAGUCUAAGGCCAGAAGGAGAGACAUUCAUAGAAUUUUCUGUGGCAUUUAGUCUGAACCACCAGUGUCAUGUGGUCUGGAUGAGGUGCAGUGAUUUGGUCAAAUGUGGUUUAAGGAACUGUAGGAAGCAAAUUUCUUCCAGUUUCUGCUUUCUCCUUCCCUAAGGAAGUCACAGAAAGUAUAGUCACCUUUCCAGAGGAAUUCACUUGCAUGCAUCACUUUGUCUUUUGUGCACAUGUCAAGGGGUGUCAUGGGUGCUGUGAAGCCUCCUCAUGACUCCAGGUAAGGAGGGCUCCGAGCCCUCUGGUAUCCGAAUGUACUGGUGACUCUCUCCCCAAUUCCAUCCUGAAGUAUAACCUAAUUCUCCCAACUAUGUGCAGAACCCAGUUUCCUGGGAGUGAUUUGGGGAAGGCACAGCCAGCUUGAGUCGUCUUCCUUAAGUACGAGUAAUUUUUUCCUUAAGAGGUGGCCACUUUGCUGAGCAGUGUGCAUUCUUUCAGAGUUCAUUCUUCAUAGUGAGAGUAUUCAUAGUAGUAUUCCAGUGCUGGAGUUGGGAAGAUGAAUACUUUACUCUCCAUUACUGAAGAAUGAAAUGAGUUCUAAAUGUUUUGUGAAGUGGUCGCAGAUGAUUGUGCAGUCUGAGAAGCAUUCUAAAGAAUUAGAUUCAGGAGAAGGGAAUUGCUAUGACAAAAGAUGCAGCCGAAAAAAAUGUACUAUCCAGGGAAACUGUGUCCAGAAAAGUGAGCCCAGGCUGAGAAUGUCUGAAAUCAAAGCUGUGCCAAAAGGAAGCUGCCACCUGGCCCCACUCCUCUCCCAGUCACUGGAAAUAUACUACAGAUAAAUAGUAAGAACAUCAACAAAUCCAUAACCAAGAAGUUCACGGCCCUGUGUUCAUUGUGGAUUUCAACACGGAGCCCAUUGUGGUGCUGUGUGGACACGACGCGGUGAAGGAAGCCCUGGCUGACCUGGCGGAGGCAGUUUCCUGGGGUGCAGUCAUCCAGGGAUCAGGGGUGCUCCAGUUUGGGGGGAUGUGUCUGGGCUUAUAAGUUUCAAAGACUCCAACAAGGCUAAGGAAUUGAGAAAUUUUAAGUUAUUUUAGAGGAUUGUAUGAAAACAUCAUAGUUCCAGCAUUUUUCUAUAAAGGAUCAUUAAUUCAUGUUUUAAGGUGUGAAGGUGACAUAGUGUUUCUGUGAAGCAUCAAAUGCAGAGGAAGCAAACAUCUGACAACUGACAUUUAGUGAAUCUGUGACUGAGCCACGUUCAUUUAAAAUUAUGGCCAGUUCAGAUAGUGGGAAAGAAAGGGAGAAGAGAAGAGAGGAAAGUGACUAAAUUAUCCUAGUCACCAGAUGUUUUUCUUUCCAGUCUGUCAUGGUUGCCAAGGGACUAUUUUAGGAAGCUAACCCAGUAUGCAUAGAACCAGCAGAGGUUUGGAAUAUUUCCAACCUUGCUUUCAAUCUUUUAUUCUUCUAAAAUAGUGUAAAAAUGUUUGAAUCCAAUAGAAUACAAAGCAUAAAGCACAGAUAUGCUCUGAAAAGAGGAUCAUGGAGAAACACAUAGUGAGUAUGGAUUGGAAUUGAUAUUAGAGUUUUUUAAAUUAAGUACUUGAACUAUUUUGCAUUUCUUGUUGGAGCUGGCCUCCAACUGUUGAGUCCACUGGUGGGUCACUGGGUCCCUGCAAAUAAAGAUAAGGCCCACAUGGGGUCGUUUCCUCCUUUACAUUGUUCUUUAAGGUCUUUCCAGAUUAGUUUCCUAUGAGCACUGUUUUUCCCCCUGAGUUUCCCUUGGCUCUGGAAGUCUGAUAUUGAACUUCCUUGGUGGGAAGAGCACGUUUCAAGUAGAAGAUUUAACAAAUAGAAGGAAAUGUUAAAAUGAGAAGGGCUGUGGCUGUGCUGUGUCCCUUAUCUGAGGAAUACAUUUUCAUGAGCUUCCUGCCAAAGCAUAAGUGCUAUUCCUCCUUCUCUUGAGAACGAUUCUUUCUGUUGUUUCUCCUACAAGUGCACUAUGGUGCACAAAAGUUAGCAAUGAAAACUUUACCUGUGACUUGAACUCACCUUGAUUUAUUCACUGAGUGAUCAUACAGCACACAUUCUGUCUCUGUGAUCUUUAGCAUCCCUCUCUAUAAAAUGGGAGCAAAACACUUGGCUCACAGAGUUAUUCUGAGGUUUAGAGGAGCUAAUGGAUGAAAAAAAGGUUAGAAAGAUGUAAAACCAAGAGUCUUGAUAGUAAGAUACCAGGCAGGGUUAGAGAGGAGGCAGGAGAAGCAGGGCUCUGUGGGAAUCCCUUAGGCUGGCACCAUCAUAUUGAGCAUCAUUAUCAUUUCCUGAGGAAAAGACUCUCACCUAGAAUUCAUGACAAUGGAGGUUAUUCUUACAUGUUUUUUUCUGAUGAUAGGAAUUGUUUUCAGCAGAGGAGAAAAAUGGAAAGAAGCCUGACAUUUCUCCCUCAUGGCUUUGCAGAAUACGGGGAUGGAGGUGAAGAGUGUAGGAGAUAGAAUUCAAGAGGAGCCGCGGGUCUGGUGCAAGCAUUAAAACAACAACCCAAUGGUGUGUAUUUCUUUAUGUAAUUCACAGUAAUAGUUUGGGUGGAAUAAAUGCUGUUACAAAUGGACUACAGAGAUGUUGGCUCAAGUACAGCAGAAGCUUUCUUUUUGCUCACAUAACAGAACUAAGGGGUGAAGUGGCUGGCGUAACAGCCUUUUCAGGCACAAGGUUGACAGGAGCUUUGGUAAAUUUACCAUGUGGCCUCCAGUGUCACCCAGGAUUCAUCUCCACAGAGCGGCGAAAAUAGCGAACAGCAAGGCAAAGAGCAAUAGCGUUUUUGACAGGCUGGAUACGGCAGUGGAGCACAAACUUCUUUCCCAUUCCAUGGGCUGCCCCGCAGUCACAGGGCCACACCUGACUCUAAGGAACCGGGAAGUGUGGCUAUCUGUGUGCACGAAAAAAGACGAGAACAUGGAUUUUGGUAAUCAGCUAGUAGUUUGGGCAACAAUAACUUGAAAACUGAAGUAAAUUCUCUAGUAAUUUUUUGAGAAAUGUCACAAACAUUUUGCAAUAUAUGUUUGUCAAGUUAUAAUGCUCUGCACCUUAAACUUGUACAGUGCUGUCUGUCAAUUACAUCUCAAUAAAACAAAAUAAAAAACG